rnacentral:rRNA from 1 species
AGCGAACGCUGGCGGCAGGCCUAACACAUGCAAGUCAAACGAACCCUUCGGGGUUAGUGGCGGACGGGUGAGUAACACGUGGGAACGUACCUUUAGGUUCGGAACAACACAGGGAAACUUGUGCUAAUGCCGAAUGUGCCCUUCGGGGGAAAGAUUUAUCGCCUUUAGAGCGGCCCGCGUCUGAUUAGCUUGUUGGUGAGGUAAAGGCUCACCAAGGCUUCGAUCAGUAGCUGGUCUGAGAGGAUGAUCAGCCACACUGGGACUGAGACACGGCCCAGACUCCUACGGGAGGCAGCAGUGGGGAAUCUUGCGCAAUGGGCGAAAGCCUGACGCAGCCAUGCCGCGUGAAUGAUGAAGGUCUUAGGAUUGUAAAAUUCUUUCACCGGGGAAGAUAAUGACGGUACCCGGAGAAGAAGCCCCGGCUAACUUCGUGCCAGCAGCCGCGGUAAU